rnacentral:rRNA from 1 species
CUCGCCAGGGUACAACGAGCUAAAGCUUAAAACCCAAAGGACUUGGCGAUGCUUUAAACCCCCCUAGAGGAGCCUGUUCUAUAAUCGAUGAUCCCCGUUUAACCUCACCCUCUUUUGUCCUCCCCGCCUAUAUACCGCCGUCGUCAGCCUACCCUGUGAAGGAUAAAAAGUAAGCUUAAUUGGUUUAGCCCAAAAAGUCAGGUCAAGGUGUAGCGUAUGAGAGGGAAAGAAAUGGGCUACAUUUACUGCCACAGUAAAAUUAACGAAUGAUGAACUGAAAUAUUUUAUCGGAAGGUGGAUUUAGUAGUAAGGAAAGAAUAGAGAGCUCUCCUGAAAAUGGCCCUGAAGCACGUACACAUCGCCCGUCACCCUCCCCACGGCCAAUAUAAAUAUGAUUAAUAAACUAAAGUUCGUCCACAAGGGGAGGCAAGUCGUAACACAGUAAGUGUACUGGAAAGUGCCCUUGGAUCACU